rnacentral:rRNA from 1 species
GACGAACGCUGGCGGCGUGCUUAACACAUGCAAGUCGAACGGAAAGGCCCUGCUUUUGUGGGGUGCUCGAGUGGCGAACGGGUGAGUAACACGUGAGUAACCUGCCCUUGACUUUGGGAUAACUUCAGGAAACUGGGGCUAAUACCGGAUAGGAGCUCCUGCUGCAUGGUGGGGGUUGGAAAGUUUCGGCGGUUGGGGAUGGACUCGCGGCUUAUCAGCUUGUUGGUGGGGUAGUGGCUUACCAAGGCUUUGACGGGUAGCAGGCCUGAGAGGGUGACCGGCCACAUUGGGACUGAGAUACGGCCCAGACUCCUACGGGAGGCAGCAGUGGGGAAUAUUGCACAAUGGGCGGAAGCCUGAUGCAGCAACGCCGCGUGCGGGAUGACGGCCUUCGGGUUGUAAACCGCUUUCGCCUGUGACGAAGCGUGAGUGACGGUAAUGGGUAAAGAAGCACCUGCUAACUACGUG